rnacentral:rRNA from 1 species
GACGUAGGAGGCGAGCGUUGUCCGGAUUCAUUGGGCGUAAAGAGCGUGUAGGCGGCUUGGUAGGUCCGCUGUGAAAACUCGAGGCUCAACCUCGAGAUGUCGGCGGAAACCACUUGGCUAGAGUCCGGAAGAGGAGAGUGGAAUUCCUGGUGUAGCGGUGAAAUGCGCAGAUAUCAGGAAGAACACCUAUGGCGAAGGCAGCUCUCUGGGACGGUACUGACGCUGAGACGCGAAAGCGUGGGGAGCGAACAGG